rnacentral:tRNA from 1 species
GCGGAAGUGGCUCAGUUGGUAGAGCAUCUCCUUGCCAAGGAGAAGGUCGCGGGUUCGAAUCCCGUCUUCCGCUCCA